AUGGAUGGGCUUCUACAUUGGGACUUUGCUCCCGGUCUAGCCCUUGCAAAGCAGGUGAGGCACAGGUUUGGCACGACCGUCCAUUUUUCCUCUUCCCAAGGCUCUAGGGAAUUCUUUCUGGUGGUCACUUUCUCUUCAGCCUCCUUUCCUCUCUCGGUGGAAUCCGUUUUUAUUGCCUUGCAAUGUUGUCUUGGG
rnacentral:rRNA from 1 species